rnacentral:rRNA from 1 species
ACAACAGGUGGAGCCUGCGGUUAAUCGGACUCAACGCCGGGAAACUCACCAGAUAAGACAGCUGAAUGAUAGUCGGGCUGAAGACUCUACUUGACUAGCUGAGAGGAGGUGCAUGGCCGUCGUCAGUUCGUACUGUGAAGCAUCCUGUUAAGUCAGGCAACGAGCGAGACCCACGCCAACAGUUGCCAGCUCGUCCUCCGGGAUGGUGGGGACACUGUUGGGACCGCCUCUGCUAAAGAGGAGGAAGGAAUGGGCAACGGUAGGUCAGCAUGCCCCGAAUUAUCUGGGCUACACGCGGGCUACAAUGGGUGGGACAAUGGGUAUCGACACCGAAAGGUGAAGGCAAUCUCCUAAACCCAUCCGUAGUUCGGAUUGUGGGCUGCAACUCGCCCACAUGAAGCUGGAAUCUGUAGUAAUCGUGUCUCAAAAUGGCACGGUGAAUAUGUCCCUGCUCCUU